rnacentral:rRNA from 1 species
CUGCGGCAGCGACGCUGAUGCGUUGUUGGGUAGGGGAGCGUUCUGUAAGCCUGUGAAGGUGUGUCGUGAGGCAUGCUGGAGGUAUCAGAAGUGCGAAUGCUGACAUAAGUAACGAUAAAGCGGGUGAAAAGCCCGCUCGCCGGAAGACCAAGGGUUCCUGUCCAACGUUAAUCGGGGCAGGGUGAGUCGACCCCUAAGGCGAGGCCGAAAGGCGUAGUCGAUGGGAAACGGGUUAAUAUUCCCGUACUUGGUGUUACUGCGAAGGGGGGACGGAGAAGGCUAUGUUGGCCGGGCGACGGUUGUCCCGGUUUAAGCGUGUAGGCUGGUUUUCCAGGCAAAUCCGGAAAAUCAAGGCUGAGGCGUGACGACGAGGCACUACGGUGCUGAAGCAACAAAUGCCCUGCUUCCAGGAAAAGCCUCUAAGCAUCAGGUAACAUCAAAUCGUACCCCAAACCGACACAGGUGGUCAGGUAGAGAAUACCAAGGCGCUUGAGAGAACUCGGGUGAAGGAACUAGGCAAAAUGGUGCCGUAACUUCGGGAGAAGGCACGCUGACACGUAGGUGAAGUGAUUUACUCAUGGAGCUGAAGUCAGUCGAAGAUACCAGCUGGCUGCAACUGUUUAUUAAAAACACAGCACUGUGCAAACACGAAAGUGGACGUAUACGGUGUGACGCCUGCCCGGUGCCGGAAGGUUAAUUGAUGGGGUCAGCGCAAGCGAAGCUCCUGAUCGAAGCCCCGGUAAACGGCGGCCGUAACUAUAACGGUCCUAAGGUAGCGAAAUUCCUUGUCGGGUAAGUUCCGACCUGCACGAAUGGCGUAAUGAUGGCCAGGCUGUCUCCACCCGAGACUCAGUGAAAUUGAACUCGCUGUGAAGAUGCAGUGUACCCGCGGCAAGACGGAAAGACCCCGUGAACCUUUACUAUAGCUUGACACUGAACAUUGAGCCUUGAUGUGUAGGAUAGGUGGGAGGCUUUGAAGUGUGGACGCCAGUCUGCAUGGAGCCGACCUUGAAAUACCACCCUUUAAUGUUUGAUGUUCUAACGUGGACCCGUUACCCGGGUUGCGGACAGUGUCUGGUGGGUAGUUUGACUGGGGCGGUCUCCUCCUAAAGAGUAACGGAGGAGCACGAAGGUUGGCUAAUCCUGGUCGGACAUCAGGAGGUUAGUGCAAUGGCAUAAGCCAGCUUGACUGCGAGCGUGACGGCGCGAGCAGGUGCGAAAGCAGGUCAUAGUGAUCCGGUGGUUCUGAAUGGAAGGGCCAUCGCUCAACGGAUAAAAGGUACUCCGGGGAUAACAGGCUGAUACCGCCCAAGAGUUCAUAUCGACGGCGGUGUUUGGCACCUCGAUGUCGGCUCAUCACAUCCUGGGGCUGAAGUAGGUCCCAAGGGUAUGGCUGUUCGCCAUUUAAAGUGGUACGCGAGCUGGGUUUAGAACGUCGUGAGACAGUUCGGUCCCUAUCUGCCGUGGGCGCUGGAGAACUGAGGGGGGCUGCUCCUAGUACGAGAGGACCGGAGUGGACGCAUCACUGGUGUUCGGGUUGUCAUGCCAAUGGCACUGCCCGGUAGCUAAAUGCGGAAGAGAUAAGUGCUGAAAGCAUCUAAGCACGAAACUUGCCCCGA